rnacentral:rRNA from 1 species
AUACGGAGGAUCCGAGCGUUAUCCGGAUUUAUUGGGCUUAAAGGGUGCGUAGGCGGUCGGGUAAGCGUAGGGUGAAAGUCCUCUGCUCAACAGAGGAAGUGCCUUCCGAACUGUCCGACUGGAAUGCUCCUGCCGUGGGAGGAAUGUGUGGUGUAGCGGUGAAAUGCAUAGAGAUCACACAGAACACCGAUUGCGAAGGCAUCUCACGAAGGGGGUAUUGACGCUGAGGCACGAAAGCGGGGGGAUCAAACAGGAUUAGAUACCCUGGUAGUCCACGCAGUAAACGAUGAUGACUAACCGUCGGUCAAGACUGAUCGGUGGCCAAGCGAAAGCGAUAAGUCAUCCACCUGGGGAGUACGGCCGCAAGGUUGAAACUUAAAGGAAUUGACGGGG